rnacentral:rRNA from 1 species
CCUACGGGAGGCAGCAGUGGGGAAUAUUGCGCAAUGGGCGAAAGCCUGACGCAGCGACGCAGCGUGAGGGAUGAAGGUCUUCGGAUCGGAAACCUCUGUCAGCAGGGAAGAACGGUCACUGUGCUAAUCAGCAGUGAAUUGACGGUACCUGCAAAGGAAGCACCGGCUAACUCCGUGCCAGCAGCCGCGGUAAUACGGAGGGUGGGAGCGUUAUUCGGAAUUACUGGGAGGAAAGCGCGCGUAGGCGGUAUGUCAAGUCAAGGGUGAAAGUCCCGGGCUCAACGUGGGAACUGCCUUUGAAACUGGCAAACGUGAGUGUGUGAGAGGAUAGUGGAAUUCCAGGUGUAGGAGUGAAAUCCGUAGAUAUCUGGAGGAACAUCAGUGGCGAAGGCGACUAUCUGGCACAUAACUGACGCUGAGGAGCGAAAGCGUGGGUAGCAAACAGGAUUAGAUACCCCAGUAGUC